AUACGGAGGGUGCAAGCGUUACUCGGAAUCACUGGGCGUAAAGCGCGCGCAGGCGGCUAUUUAAGUUGGUUGUGAAAGCCUACGGCUCAACCGUAGAACUGCAUCCAAAACUAUUUAGCUAGAGUGUGGGAGAGGAAGAUGGAAUUAGUUGUGUAGGGGUAAAAUCCGUAGAGAUAACUAGGACUACCAAAAGCGAAGGCAAUCUUCUGGAACACUACUGACGCUGAGGCGCGAAAGCGUGGGGAGCAAACGGGAUUAGAAACCCCGGUAGUCC
rnacentral:rRNA from 1 species